rnacentral:tRNA from 1 species
GGCCAGGUAGCUCAGUUGGUAGAGCAGAGGACUGAAAAUCCUUGUGUCGCCGGUUCAAUUCCGGCUCUGGCCACCA